GACGAACGCUUGCGGCGUGCUUAACACAUGCAAGUCGAACGGAAAGGCCCUGCUUUUGUGGGGUGCUCGAGUGGCGAACGGGUGAGUAACACGUGAGUAACCUGCCCUUGACUUUGGGAUAACUUCAGGAAACUGGGGCUAAUACCGGAUAGGAGCUCCUGCUGCAUGGUGGGGGUUGGAAAGUUUCGGCGGUUGGGGAUGGACUCGCGGCUUAUCAGCUUGUUGGUGGGGUAGUGGCUUACCAAGGCUUUGACGGGUAGCCGGCCUGAGAGGGUGACCGGCCACAUUGGGACUGAGAUACGGCCCAGACUCCUACGGGAGGCAGCAGUGGGGAAUAUUGCACAAUGGGCGGAAGCCUGAUGCAGCAACGCCGCGUGCGGGAUGACGGCCUUCGGGUUGUAAACCGCUUUCGCCUGUGACGAAGCGUGAGUGACGGUAAUGGGUAAAGAAGCACCGGCUAACUACGUGCCAGCAGCCGCGGUGAUACGUAGGGUGCGAGCGUUGUCCGGAUUUAUUGGGCGUAAGGGCUCGUAGGUGGUUGAUCGCGUCGGAAGUGUAAUCUUGGGGCUUAACCCUGAGCGUGCUUUCGAUACGGGUUGACUUGAGGAAGGUAGGGGAGAAUGGAAUUCCUGGUGGAGCGGUGGAAUGCGCAGAUAUCAGGAGGAACACCAGUGGCGAAGGCGGUUCUCUGGGCCUUUCCUGACGCUGAGGAGCGAAAGCGUGGGGAGCGAACAGGCUUAGAUACCCUGGUAGUCCACGCUGUAAACGGUGGGUACUAGGUGUGGGGUCCAUUCCACGGGUUCCGUGCCGUAGCUAACGCUUUAAGUACCCCGCCUGGGGAGUACGGCCGCAAGGCUAAAACUCAAAGGAAUUGACGGGGCCCCGCACAAGCGGCGGAGCAUGCGGAUUAAUUCGAUGCAACGCGUAGAACCUUACCUGGGUUUGACAUGGAUCGGGAGUGCUCAGAGAUGGGUGUGCCUCUUUUGGGGUCGGUUCACAGGUGGUGCAUGGCUGUCGUCAGCUCGUGUCGUGAGAUGUUGGGUUAAGUCCCGCAACGAGCGCAACCCUUGUUCACUGUUGCCAGCACGUUAUGGUGGGGACUCAGUGGAGACCGCCGGGGUCAACUCGGAGGAAGGUGGGGAUGACGUCAAGUCAUCAUGCCCCUUAUGUCCAGGGCUUCACGCAUGCUACAAUGGCUGGUACAGAGAGUGGCGAGCCUGUGAGGGUGAGCGAAUCUCGGAAAGCCGGUCUCAGUUCGGAUUGGGGUCCGCAACUCGACCUCAUGAAGUCGGAGUCGCUAGUAAUCGCAGAUCAGCAACGCUGCGGUGAAUACGUUCCCGGG
rnacentral:rRNA from 1 species